ensembl:lncRNA
GGACAAACCCCAUAGGGGACACCUGGGGGGUGACAGUGCCCCAUAGGGGACACCUGGGGGGGUAACAGCCCUAUAGGUGACGUCUGAGGGGGCUGAGGUGACAUCAGGGGGGUGACAGCCCCAUAGGGGACACUUGGGGGGGUGACAUCCCCAUAGAUGCCACUUGGGGGGUGACAAACCCCAUAAGUGACAUCUGGGGGGCGGUGACAGCCCUAUAGGUGCCACCUGGGGGGGGUGAGGUGACAUCUGGGGGGGACAGCCCCACAGGUGACACUUAGGGGGGUGACAGCCCUAUAGGUGUCACCUGGGGGGGGUGAGGUGACAUCUGGGGGGUGACAGCCCCAUAGGUGACACUUGAGGGGGGGUGAGGCGACAUCUGGGGCUGCCAAAGCCCACAGGUGCCACGUGGGGGGGGUGGGGGGGGGUGACGACCCCCAUAGGUGCCACCCGGGGGGCGGCAGUCCCCAUCACUGCCACCUGUGGGGCGGUGACUCCCGCCCCCCCCCAAUCCCCGGUGACACUUGGGGGGCUGACAGCCCCAUAGGUGCUACCUGGGGGUGAGGCGACAUCUGGGGGGGUGCCAAAGCCCACAGGUGCCACGUGGGGGGGGUGAGGUGACCUCUGGGGGGGGACAACCCCAUAGGUGACACUUGGGGGGGGUGACAGCCCCAUAGGUGACCUCUGGGGGAGGGUGACAGCCCCAUAAGUGCCACCCGGGGGGGGUGAGGUGACCUCGGGGGGGGUGGCAG